rnacentral:lncRNA from 1 species
CGUAUCUUCAUAUGCGCAAUACCUUGUUUAUUUUUUCUUUUUCUUGUUUAAGAACAUUUUCAGAAGCUAAGAAUCAAGGACAUCGAUUUCAUCUCAACCCACAUCAAAACAGGUAAUUUGUUCUCGUCCUAUAUUUCAAUCUCUGAUGAGUUCUUUCCUCGACAAACAAACAAUGAAUUCUUGUACAGUUCUAAAGAAUUUGUAGUUGAUACUUUUAUGGAGAAAGUCCAAAUAAACUUAGUGAUUUACUAAAUUUUUUCUAUUCUUAAAUUCCCAUCUGCAUACCAUCUGGAUUCAUUUCGGUUUUCUUAUAGAUGUGUAUGGUUUUAAUCACUAUCGGGAUUCUUAUGUGACUAUUUACUGUAACUUCGAGUUCUUUUCCUCUGUGUUGGUAUGAAGUUCUACGAAACCUUCACAAAAAACUAGAACAUUUGCAUAGAAAUUGGAGAAUGGUGACCUAAAGUAUGUGAAUUUCAUAUUUGCAUUGAUUUAGGGUAAUUUUCUUUAUUGAAAUAAUUUUUUCAUCUGUUGAUUCUCGAUGAUUAAGCUUCAAAUCUUCCGUAUUUUCAACUCAGUUUCAACCCAGAGUGUCUUGAUGAAGAAUUAAGUGCAAGAAAAUAACUAUUGAAAAUUGAUUUGUCUUAAACUUGUACCAGAGUCAAUUUUUGAUUUAAACCCUUUUCCAUUUCAAUUAUCAAUCAUGAUUUUCAUGCUUAAUAGCCCAUUUAUACAGAAUGGUAAAGAGGCCCUAUAUUAUCAUCGACCAUAGAAAUGAAAGGUUAAUCCUUACCAACUUGAUCUCGUUGGCACACACUGAUAUGAAGUCCUUUCCUUUUUUCAUAAUUUACUGGUAAUUUUGAAUGGCAAUGCUUAUUCAACAAUUGCAAUUCUCAACACAUCCUAUGUGAUCAAUUUUCUUAAUACUAUCGCCGUACAACACAGUUUACAAUCAAAGGACAAAUUUAAUUUCUUUCACAUUAUUUCCCACAAAUUUCCCCCGUUGAAUUCUCCAGCUCUUCAUUUUCACAAUUCAUUUGGUGGGUGAGCAGAACAUGUUUACAUUUUGAAUUUCCAGCCCCAAAUAUGUAUAUAUGAUUUUCAUUCGAAUUCAAGUUGCCAACAAUUUAAAAUGACAAAGACUCAGGGCAUAGAAAUUGAGUUAAGUUUCUUGUUAUACAUGGAAUUGUUUGUUCAAUAAUCUUUAAUUCUUUCAACACUUUUUGUUUUGUAGAUUGUACUGUUUUAUUCAGGAAAAUGAGAAGUAAUUUUUAGAUGACUCGUACAAUUAUAAAUGUUUUCCAAGGGAAAAGUGAACUACUAUUAAUAUUGCGUAUAUUUUGAUUUUAUUUUAAAAAAGCAUUAGAAUUCCAUAAUUAUGGAAUCUGUAAUUUAUCCAUUCUUAUUAAAUCUCAGAGUCUCCCAUGUACUUUCAUAAAUUUGAUUAUCCUCAAGUCGAGUUCACCUCUUCUUUAUUACUUCAUUUCUUUUAAAAUAAGCCAACACAUUCUGUUGAUCCCUUCUAUAAAGCAAAUUAUCUAUGUACUCACAAAGUUGUACAAGCUUGGAAUUCAAGAAAAGCAAGUUGUGGCUUAUGAUAGGUUGAAUUGGAGUCAAGAUUUUUGCUUAACUUUUACAAAAAAUUCUACCAUUAUUUUGUCUAGACUUGAUGCAAGAAUAUAUGUGAUGUGAAUGAUACUGCUUGAUUGAUGAUUCAAGUUCUUCAUUUAGGACUUAUUCUUAGAUGUGAAAGUGUUCAUAAAUCUUAAUGGGUUCUUGGUUAUUUGGUGAAAUAAUUGCUAAUUAUUUGUUAAUUUAUGUACAUUCACUGAUCUUGUUUCAUGUAUUAUAUGUUGUAGGCCUGUAGUUAUUCUGGUUUAUCCUCUUUAAGCAGGGCUUCUUCUUGUACUAAACUAGAUUUAAGUACUAUACGGUAGUAUGUUUGGUAUUGUCAAUUGGAUGGAACCACAGGGUUCGAUUUCGAUGUUUGCUUCGUUUUCCAUAAUUCUCUUUUUUAAAAUUCCAAAAUCUUUAGUCAAUAUUUUCUCUGAUCUUUUCGUAAGUUAGCUUUACUUGUCUAAAUAUAUUUCUUUUGGAUAUAAACUAUUUUCAUGAAGGUGGAGUUGUGGAUAAACUUUCGAAAUUAUUUUAAUUAUUAUUUUGUUUUGUGGUCCACUCAUACCACUUCAAUUGGAUGCUCAUUUGUUGAUAUUUUGCAAGUUUUGACUCAUAGCCACCUCUUAGUAUUGAUAAGUGUGUUUUUGCACACUUAUUUAGGUCACAAACAUGACUUAAUUACGUUACAUUUGUGAAUUGUAGGGAACACCAAUGAACAUGGUGAAAUUCAUGAGAGAAGACGCGAAAAAUCACUAAAAUGACACAAAGUGAAAGUUCAAGGACUAAGAUGCAAUUACCCAAAAGUUGACCCGAUGAACAAAUCAAGGAAUUGGUUGAACCAAAUGCCAAUUGAUGAUGUCUUGAGAUGAUGGAAUGGAAAGAGUGAAGAAAAGAGGUCUAGAAGUGAAAUAUUCAAGUAAAGGGACUAAAUUGAAGAGAAUAGAAGUUGGAGUCUACCAUGCGGCCACAUGGUAGAACUCUCGUGCAGCCGCACGAAUGAAUGUAGGGAAUUUUUAUCAAAACAUGGAAUAACCAUGCGGCCGCACUGAUUAAAACCAUGCGGUCGUAUGGUAGUAUUUCCGAUACGAAAUUUUCUUUCCUUAUGCGAUUAAAACUCCUUUGGUAACCUAAUAUUCACGGGAUAUAAAUAUCAAAAAAGGUCCAGAAACGACCAGAACGCAUUGGGAGGCAGAAAAACACUUUUUAAAAAGGAUUUGGAGCGCAAGAACGAAGAUUGGCUAUUAGAAUUUCAAGAUUUCUUCAAGCUUUUAUAAUCCAGUGAUGCUUAUUACUCAAAACCUGAUGUAUUUUGUUAUUUUAAUCAUGCUAGGUUAGAUUUUUAUGUGCUU